CGAGGGGUGACAAAACAGCAGCGAGGUUUGCGUUAGUGGCAAGCGGUUUUCCACCGCAACCGCUGAAGUGCUGAGAACCCCGGGUCUUCAGCCAUGCAUCUGGAUGGGAUACAGUGAGAAAGCAGAAGAACUUUGCAUAUCAGUAUUAUGGAACAUGAAACUUGAAAGAGAAUGAUGAGUGUGACCGUCGUGACGGAUACCCCGGCUACCCCCGACUGGGUAUCUCCGCCAAAUGGGUCCUGCUUCCUCCUUGCCGACUGCAGCUAUGUAGCUGGCAAGUGACCAGAGCCUUUAGCCACCCCUGAUGCCCGACAGCACCAGUAUUCAGGGUCCCACCCUGUGGCAGACUUCGGCUACCCAGACUAGGUAGCUCUGCCAGAGGGUCCUUUCUCUACCUGGAAAAGGCUGCUAUGUAGCCCAGGAAAAUGAUUUUAGCAGGAGCCAACCAAAUAACUAGACAUACUAGCAUUCACGUGAAUCAGGAACUGAUUUUAUUGGAAAACACAAACUCCUUUUAUACACAAAGCUCAUCUUAAUAAGACACUGGACAAUCCCCCAAUUUAACACAAGCCCCAUAAGUCCCAUCUAUAUUAAGGGAAUACUACAAAUAAGGCAGACUCCACCUCAAAAAUAACAUCCAUGCCUAAGGAGUAGGUAGAAAGUCAGUUGGAGGGGAUUCCCGCAAGUCUAAUCAUUUAUACCAGCAGCCAAAGUCAAUCAUCGUAAUUAGGCCCUUUGGUGUAACAGUAUACAUGCCACCAGAAAAAAAGAAUACGAUCUUGCUGAAGGCUCAGCCACUUGGAACAAGCCUGGUAUCCUAUAAAAGAUAUAUUGACAACAUUAUAAUUAUUGUGGCGUGGGGCAGAAAAAUCCUUUGGGGAUUUUGUUGCAUCAAUGAAUGACCAUACAUGUAACCUUAAUUUCACCUAUGAAAUAAGCAAAUCAAGUAUAAAAUUUCUGGAUUUUGAAAUUUUCAUUAAAGCAAAUAAAUUAAAUACCAAAACACACUUCAAAAAAA